rnacentral:rRNA from 1 species
GAUCAUGGCUCAGAUUGAACGCUGGCGGCAUGCUUUACACAUGCAAGUCGAACGGCAGCACAGGGAGCUUGCUCCCGGGUGGCGAGUGGCGCACGGGUGAGUAAUACAUCGGAACGUGUCCUGUUGUGGGGGAUAACUGCUCGAAAGGGUGGCUAAUACCGCAUGAGACCUGAGGGUGAAAGCGGGGGAUCACAAGACCUCGCGCAACUGGAGCGGCCGAUGCCCGA